CUCUCUCUCUUACUCUCUUACUCUCUCUCUCUCUCUUCUCUCCGGUGUCUUCUUCUUAGCUCUGGGGGCAGAGAUUUAGUGCUUUCGGUCGCAUAUAAACCCGCAGCACAAAGUUUGGUGAUCAGUCAGGGGGAGCUAGAGAAUGUUCUCUAAAAAUUAAAACAAAACUCUCUCAGUGAUGCCACGGCGCGUGUGUGUUGAGUUGGGACGUGUGUUGGUGUUGGUGUGGAUUUGUGUUCGUAGAAUCAGAGGUAAAUGGGAAUGUGUUUGAUGUGUUCCAGUCAGCUGGAUACAAGAGCAGGAAGGCUUAUUAAGUACAAGGAAUAAAGUAAGAAAACAAAAACGACGAUAAUAAUUGGAAUUAAGAAAUGGAAGGGAAGAAAUUAGCAAAUGUAUAAAAGUAAAAGAUGAUGAUAGAAGUGAGGGAGAAAACGGGAAGAAGGAAGAGCUUUUUCCUUCUUUCCUCCCUUCCUUAUUUACUUAUCUGAUUUUUCGUUUACCUCAUUAUCACAAUCUUUUCAUUAUUAUUCUUUCCUUAACUGUGUGUGUUCUAUCUUUCUUUCAUUUUCCACUUAUUUUGUACCCCUUGUUUACGUAAAAUUACCUUACUUCUGUUUUCCCCUUUUCCCAUUUUUCGAAUUCUUUAACUAUUGUUAUCUUUUUUUCCUGCUCCUGGGUUCUUCUUCCAUUUUUUCACUAGCGCAUCCUUCUGUUUCUUCCAUUAUUUAUUUACAUUUCCUAUCCGCCACAUGCUUGUUUUUUGUUAUUUUCUAAUAGGCUAUAUUUUAAUUUGUUUAUCGGUGUAUGUGGUAGUCUGCGCGCGAGCACACGCAUCAGUCUGCUUGACCUCUGUUUCUUGUCUUCACGCUCGUUUUACCAAGAGUAGGUUAAAGUGACUACAGUGACACCUGCUGGCAGUUAUUGUAACCACAGUCAGAACUUCAUUACAUUUAAUAUAAUUGUGCAGUAUGGUAUGUGGCAUUAGUUUAGUCGUGUGUUUUUUCAAAUGCUCAUUCAAUUUCAUUUUUUGUUUGCGUUCUGUAUUUACAAAUAUUACAUAUUGGCCGGCCUCUUUAUUGGGUACACCUGUGUCUUGAUGUGUACCUGAUGAAGUUAUUUGAUAGACUAAUCACAUGACAGCAGCAACAACGAGGUUAAAACGACCUGUUCGACUUUAAACUGUGCACCACCAGGGCUGUUCGAGUGACGUGGGAUGUACUACAGGUGUCGGGACUGAGGCAAAUUAUGUGAAAACAUCCAUCCACCCAUCCACUCACCAUGGCCAGAUGGUGAUAGUGGUGAUGUAUGGGUGUGGAGAAUAUACUCGAAGCACACCUUUGCUCUGUAGUUUAAAGAACAUAACUUAAAUCUUACAAAAUGACUGACCAAAGUGUAAGAAAUUAUUUCAGAGUUUUGUUCAUUUAUCCCUUUAUAAGUUUUGUCAGUUUUAAAGAUCUCUGGUUAAUGUUCCUAGAUGGAAUCAACUGGAUAGAUUUACCCAAUCUAUCAGUGAGAGUAUACUUGAUGUUCUUUCCCAGCUUUAGUUACAUACGUGACCAGUCUGUGUCAGCAGUUUAGCUGUUCUUCAUCUGACCGUCAUCAGUUUUUGUCCCCUCCUUACAAUUUACAGAAAAACAUCUCUGUUUACAGUGUUAUAAGCAACACGCACUCCUCGUCUUUAUCUAAUGUGAAUGAUGGCCAUGUGUGGAAUGUAAGACAGGAUGUCUGCUGGCUGAGAUGUGAGUGGGCUGUGUUUAUGCUGCUGCUGUAAACACCUCAGUAUAACUACCAUAAUCUCCUUCAUUAUACUGCGUUUAGCAAACAGUGAUCCUCAGCUAGCUCAGACCUGUCAGUGUUGAGGAUGGAAACAAAUAUUUACCCUCCUGACAGGAAUCACAGUGGACUUUAAUCUGGAUCCCGAGAAAGAAGCGAAGAAAGACAAUGUUGCUUCAAACAGCGGUGUAGACCAUUGAACUUUUUUAUCUUUAAGAGAAAAAUAAGCAUAUUAAAGUAUACCAGUUUUUGAUAGAUAUUAUUUACUUUAUCUAGAUAAUAAUACCAUAUAUAUAUAUAAACUGUGUUGAUAUAAACAAGACUUGCACAAAAUUGACUUCAUAAAAACUUUUAUUUUUAAGCAUUUUUCUGCAACAUGUAUAAUGGAAUAGAGGUCAUAUAGAUCAUACUGAUCAUAAAAAGGUCAAGAAAUAACUGGCCUGAAAUAUCUGCAUAUCUGCAUGUCACUGACAUAAAAAAAAAA